CACGUAGGGGGCAAGCGUUGUCCGGAUUUAUUGGGCGUAAAGAGCUCGUAGGCGGUUCGGUAAGUCGGGUGUGAAACCUCCAGGCUCAACCUGGAGACGCCACCCGAUACUGCUGUGACUAGAGUCCGGUAGGGGAGCGUGGAAUUCCUGGUGUAGCGGUGAAAUGCGCAGAUAUCAGGAGGAACACCAGCGGCGAAGGCGGCGCUCUGGGCCGGAACUGACGCUGAGGUGCGAAAGCGUGGGGAGCAAACAGG
rnacentral:rRNA from 1 species